AUGACGUCCGUCGUGAAAAAAAGUGAACCGGGAAUUCAAGAGGAGCUGCCCAACAUCUUUCUCCAUGACGUAAGGAAGUUAGAUGUUGUUUAUGAUGCUUCACAAGUUUUCCGCGGUAUACUUUACUUGUUUACACUUUUAGAAAGACAUGAUGCAGCCCCAGAAUUGAGCUAAAAAAUAUUCAAGAUUACCAAUCACGUACUGUACAUUUCGUGUUUUCUUUUUUGACAUCUUGGAAAUUAUAUUGAUUACUAGAGAUGGCUUAUCAGCGUUUGGAUAGCACUGAAUAAUUAUGCAAGAGGUGAUUCCAAGAAUUUUGU